AGGGGUUCCUUGCUCCUUGCCCUGGGCAGGCCUUCCGGGGGGUGGGGCCCGCCCCGCUUGGAAGGAAGGGCAAAGGACCAGGUCUUUUCUGGCCCCAAAGGGCUGACAAGUCGGUCACCAAGCCAUCCAGUCCAGGGCCCUCGCCGGGCCAGGGUGGUGACCACACCUGCCACUCCUCAGCCCCACGCCGUCCCUGUUCUACUUUGCAGGGAGUGGGUCCUGGACACUAGGAGCUCCUUGUGCAUGCCAAGACAGCCCAGAAUCCCAAGUGGCUGGAGCACUGGGGGACAUCCGGACAGACCCCUUCCUGAAACAAGUCCUGCAGGAACGGGAUGAGGCUAUUGCUAAGAAACGGGCAGUGGAAGCUGAGCUGGACAUGUACAAAGCCAAACUUCGUGCAGUGGAGGCUCAGUUACUGGAGGUCCUGGAGGAGAAACUGAGGCUGAAGCAGGAGGUGGAGGCGUGGGAGGAAGACAUGCAGCAGCUGGUCAGCCAGCGCGUCCAGAAUCAACUGCAGGAAGAGUCCAAGGCUCUGAACACCCACAAGGACCCCGGUGCCGCCAGGGGCCCAUGGAGGCGCUGGUGGUAAAAGCCGAGCCCGGGACUUGGUGAACACUGUCUUUAUUCAUUAAAGUUGAAGGUCUGGCCACCUCCGCA